CCCUCCUGAAGAGAAGCAUCACCCCACUUCCUUCAGCCCCGCAAGCCAUCCAGAUGGAUCAGGGUGAUAAGUGGUGAGAAACGGCUUUGCAAUUUAGCCACAUAUGGAAAACACGCUUUGGAACAGGAAAAUGAGUUUGCGCUAACGACCUAGACGAGGAAAAAGAGUGACUCCAAAAACCCAAAGGACUAUGCUACAUGUAUUAUUUUUUGAAGAAGGAAGUUAAUAAAUCAUUCUUUCAUGUUAUAUAAACA
rnacentral:lncRNA from 1 species